ACACAGUCAACGCAUGGGUAGCCAGUUGAGACUUGAGAGACUGUCGUACAAACUCGAUUCGCACAGCUAGCCCUAGCCUUGUGCCGUCAUCGAGUGUUGUCGGCCAGUCGAGUAGUCACUAGUCGACAGUCGUAUUCUGGUUGCUGUACCGUGCACACGUUAUUAUCGAUUAAAAACACUCUUUCAAUUUGUUUACAAAUAAAAGCCAGAGUGAAGAGUGAGGAGGAUAGCCGUGACAGGUGUCCUGAACCCGCUUACCUAACCACCCUUCGAAGUCAAGAUGGAGAGCUGGUUAGAUGAUGUCAAGCGAGUUAGAAUACCGCGACCUAAGUUUGAACGCAAAUAUCCGGUGGAGCCUCCUAAAGACUACUUAGAAGAUUGCGGCGAUUUAAGCGGCAAAGGACGGCAUCUACACGAUAACAAAGAUUUGGCAAAGGCGACAGAGGAGUUAAGGAGGACACUGCAAGAAAAGCUAUGACAGAUAAAUACCAGUAUCUUAAUGUAACUUUUGCAUACUAAUUUAUACCACUAGAUAUCUUAAAACAAAUGCGUUACGAAUUUAUAUACGUAGAUACAUAGACAGGUAAAAAUUAUAAUAAAAUUAAGCGGCCAACACUUUACGCUUACGGGUCUGUAGGGACUGUAAGCUAAAAUGUGUUUUAGUUAAUUCUGAUGAAUAUGAAGAUAUGUUUUAUACCCAAAAUCAUAAAGGAAAUAAUUGAUAAUAUUAAAAAAAAAAAAAUGUUUUAACGCUCCUAAAACUGUUAUCACAUUUUUAAACUUGUUUUCAAAGGAAUAAAUUUUUUUUUCGUAUAUCGCACUGUCUUUAUAAAUUAAGAUAGAUUAAACAACACCUUUAAGUAUAUAAACGUAACGCUGUGGUAUAUUUACCAUUGAGUAUUGUUAGUAUAGGCAUCUAUUAAGAAGUAUUAUAAACGUUGUAAAUUUAAAAAGAUUCGAAAAAUUGUUUCAAAUUUUUCGCAUAUUAUUGGAAAUCUUCAUAAUGUAAUUAUAUUAUAAAGAUAUCUGAUAGUAUUAGAACUAUAAUGUACACUCAUAUAUAAUUCUUUUGCAUGUCAAAAACUUUCAAGAUAUUCAAAAAAGAAAACUUAAUCAGGAAUAUUCAAUUACGUGCGAUUUUACUAGUAACUAAAUUUUAAUAACAUUUUUUUAUAUAGAAUAAGCCAGACUGGAAUUAAAAGUUAUGUAGUUUGUAAGACUGAUAAUAAUUAAUUUAUAAUAAGAUUAUUUUUUUAUAAAAACUGACAGUAAAAUGAAUGGUUUGAA